GGCCAGUAGAGGUCAGUCUUCAAAUCCAAGAGAUCACCAGUUUUGUCAAAUCACUCAAGAGCAGUUUGGCAAAACACAUGGAGGGGGAGGGUGGCCAAAGAGUGCACCAUAACCACAACAGACAAUGUCAAAUAAACUUCAGCGUCUCACAUGAAUGUACAAUGGCGGAGUGUUUCUUUAAAGGGCUCUUAUCACUUCUAAGAAAUAGUACCUUUACUUGUUAAUCCAGAUCAGAACAUCAAUAAAUGCACAGGCAUUUAUUGGUCAUCAAUAAACACACAUUGGCAUGUUGCAAUAAAUCAUCAAUGAACACACUAUGGUACAGUCCAGUCCAAUAAUUGUUUCAAUUAUUGUAAAUUCUGCCACCAUCUACAUAUUGUUCCUGUGUCACUGUGUAAUUGUCUCAAUUAUUGUAAAUUCCCCCCCCCCCUUCAUAAUAUUUUAAAUCGCUGAGGAAUUAUUUGGCGCUAUAUAACUACCAAUGAUAAUAAUAACUUGCUCUAUCUUCCUGCUUUUAUUCAUAGCAAUCAUUACUGUGGGAUCGCCUGGCACCCAGACCGGGUACCUCCACCAAUCGAUGCUUCCUUAGUGCUUACCGAGUACCACAAGCACCGCACAAGACACCAUCAGCACCGCAGUCCCCACUUCCAGCGUUACAGCUUGGUUGGGGUCUCCCUGUCCUCCAGCCAUCCUGGACCCAAGCCCAGGAUCCAGCUUCCAGUGGGUAGACCUCUCCUCCAAGCGAGUGAUUAUAAUCCCAGGGGAGUAUAGUGAUACAGCAAUCCCCAGGGUAGAUACAGCCGUUUCCCCCACACAUGAGAUGAGACUCUAUGUUGAGGAUAAGCAGGAACUCCUUUAUUGGCAGCCACAACUGGCCUUAUUUGCAGGUCUCCAUGCAAGGAGCACUGCCCUCUGGACCUGAGAGUAGACUACAAUAAAAACAACCACACAAUGACAUUGGCUCUCAGGUCCAGGACACUCCCAUACACAAAUAAAAUAAUCCCUCCUCUGUGCCUGGAAGAUAAUUGGAUCAGGAACUGUACUAAUCUAAUCCAAUUAUUUCCAAGCACAGAAAAACAUACUUUUUAACAGUACCCCGAAAGUACCCGCAAAACCCAUGGAAACCCCACAAAAGUUACAUCCCCUGAUAGCUCCGAUCCGGGUGACCAACAUAUCCAAAAAUCACCCAUAUCGGUUUAGGGAUUUCCUGGAAGUCAUAGGUUUGACCGCACGCAUGCUAAUGGUCGGUCAAGUUCGGCAAUCUUUUACAGGUUUCUCUGCAAGGCUCAUAGUCUGUGGGCAGGAGGCUGGCAAGCAAGCUCCUCACGUGGGAAGGGGAGUUUGUCACAACUACAUUUUGCAUUUGUCUCUUAAUGUCAUCAUGUAAUCUGUUUGUUGUAUUACUUUUUGUUCCAGUGAAUAAAAUGUGGCACACUCCAGACAGGUGUUAAAUCUACAGAUGAACCCUGUAAGUGCAAAGAAAGAAA